rnacentral:SRP_RNA from 1 species
GUCCAGAUGCUUUGCACAUCACAGCUGGAAAACCCCGCCAGAUCCGGAAGGAAGCAACGGUAUUCAGAUUGUGGUGGUGCCGAAGAUUAUCUGGGCCUU